GCAUAGCAUUAAGAUGACACCCAAACCCGGGUUGUAUGUCACAAACCACAAGAUACACUGGAACAAGAGAAGCUGGUUGAAGUUGCAAUAGACUUCAUUGUCAAAACUUGGAAAAUUGAGUCCAAAUUAGCCAAGUUGACCAUCCCAACAAACUAUAGACAUUUCCAUAUGAGGAACUUCGGCUGAAGGAAGAUCCCCAUCACAACUCAUAAUGCAUAAACAGAAUCGAUUAAUUGACACGGCUUUUGAACACAUCAAGACCCAUCUCAGUAGGAUCAGUUGCCUGCAGCUCAACCUGAAUUCCAUCAAGCUCCCUCUUGAAUCUAUCUUUGGAGCUCGCAUAAAUCAUCUUGCUCCUAACCCUAGCUGAAUCAGGGGACCUUCAGACAAAGCAACAAAAUUAAUGUAGAUAAAAAAAACUACUAACUCUUGGUAAAAAUUUAAUUGGAAUUUUCAAAUCUUAAAAGUUAUGGCUGUUUUGCUUGUAUUAAGCUUAAAGUUGUUGACAUUACCAAGCAAUGAAGAAAAUUUUGCUCUUCUGGCAAUUCUCUUCGGUGACAAAAUCAAAAUCAUAAACAGCAUAUCGACACUCAUCAGCUGGAAGACUGGCAGUGAAAUCUUCAUAACCAUUUGCUGGUUCACCCAGCUUCUCCACAACAACUUGCUUCUGCUUCUCCUCAAUCUUAUAAACGAUAUACCGAUAUGUC
rnacentral:lncRNA from 1 species